GAUGAACGCUGGCGGUAUGCUUAACACAUGCAAGUCGAACGGACUCUUCGGAGUUAGUCGCGGACGGGUGAGUAACGCGUGAGAAUCUGGCUUUGGGUUCGGGACAACCACUGGAAACGGUGGCUAAUACCGGAUGUGCCGAGAGGUAAAAGAGAAAUUGCCUGAAGAUGAGCUCGCGUCUGAUUAGCUAGUUGGUGAGGUAAAGGCUCACCAAGGCAGCGAUCAGUAGCUGGUCUGAGAGGAUGACCAGCCACACUGGGACUGAGACACGGCCCAGACUCCUACGGGAGGCAGCAGUGGGGAAUUUUCCGCAAUGGGCGAAAGCCUGACGGAGCAAUACCGCGUGAGGGAAGAAGGCUCUUGGGUUGUAAACCUCUUUUCUUAGGGAAGAACAAAAUGACGGUACCUAAGGAAUCAGCAUCGGCUAACUCCGUG
rnacentral:rRNA from 1 species